rfam:Chelonia mydas contig199904, whole genome shotgun sequence.
GUGAUUUGUGGUGGCAGCACAGAUACUAAAAUUGGAACCCUGCAGAGAAGAUUAGCACGGCCCUGCAAAAGGACGACACGCAAAUGCGUGAGGCCUUCCAUAUUUUU